AACGAACGCUGGCGGCGUGGAUAAGACAUGCAAGUCGAGCGAGAUUUUUUCCUGUAGCAAUACAGGGAAAAGUCUAGCGGCGAACGGGUGCUUAACACGUGGGCAACCUGCCGAGAAGUGGGGGAUAGCUCGCCGAAAGGCGAAUUAAUACCGCAUGUGAUCAGAGUGGACAUCCAAUCGAAAUCAAAGUCGGGGCAACCUGACGCUUCUUGAGGGGCCCGCGACCUAUCAGCUAGUUGGUGAGGUAACGGCCCACCAAGGCUUUGACGGGUAGCUGGUCUGAGAGGACGACCAGCCACACUGGGACUGAGACACGGCCCAGACACCUACGGGUGGCAGCAGUCGAGAAUUUUUCUCAAUGGGGGAAACCCUGAAGGAGCGACGCCGCGUGGAGGAUGAAGGUCUUCGGAUUGUAAACUCCUGUCAUUGGGGAACAAUGCGUGACGGUUAACUGCCGUCGCGUUGAUAGUACCCGAAGAGGAAGAGACGGCUAACUCUGUGCCAGCAGCCGCGGUAACAC
rnacentral:rRNA from 1 species